UGUGUAGGUGGCUGAGCAAGUCGACGAUGAAAUCCCGGGGCUUAACUUCGGAAUUGUUUUCGAAACUGCUCAGCUUGAGGAUAGUUGAGGAGAACGGAAUUCCCGGUGGAGCGGUGAAAUGCGUAGAUAUCGGGAGGAACACCAGAGGCGAAGGCGGUUCUCUGGACUAUUCCUGACACUGAGACACGAAAGCCAGGGGAGCGAACG
rnacentral:rRNA from 1 species